CAGGGCUUUCGUCUUGUAAUUGGAAUGAUGGUGAUGUACAACCUCACCAGAGUACCAAUUGGAGGGCAAGUCUGGUGCCAGCAGCCGCGGUAAUUCCAGCUCCAAUAGCGUAUAUUAAACUUGUUGCAGUUAAAAAGCUCGUAGUUGUAUUUCAGCCUCGCGUUUUUUCCCUCUUUUCGGGUCUUUUCGCUGGCUUCGUUUUUACUUUGAGAAAAUUAGAGUGUUUCAAGCAGACUUUUGUCUUGAAUACUUCAGCAUGGAAUAAUAGAGUAGGACCUUGGUUCUAUUUUGUUGGUUUCUAGGACCGAAGUAAUGAUUAAUAGGGAUAGUUGGGGGCAUUAGUAUUUAAUUGUCAGAGGUGAAAUUCUUGGAUUUAUGAAAGACUAACUUCUGCGAAAGCAUUUGCCAAGGAUGUUUUCAUUAAUCAAGAAC
rnacentral:rRNA from 1 species